AGCAAUUUGUAAAACUUAUUUAGUUAUUUAUACAGGAAAUAGUGCUACACAAUAUGAUUCCAUAUAACAAGAACAAAACAAAUCCUGUUUUUGCAUCAUGUUUACCCCAUGGUUAAGUCAAAGCCUGAAUAUAGGUUGAGUUGGGUAAACCAAUUAAUAAAUAGGAUUAGCUGAAAUAAAUCAACCAGAUGAUCAGAUUGUGAACAUCAUGCAUUGUUGCAAUAUACACAUAAAUAUUGGUUUCGAUUAAGAAACAUACUUUGACUUUGAGUCAAUUAAAAAUAAUCUAAUCCAUUCUCUAAUUCUACUUCUUAUUGUUAUUGUAAUUGGGUGAAAGUUUUAAAUAAUAAAAUAAAAAAAUAAUUAAAUAAUGUAAUGGCUAUUGGCUAACAACUGAGUCUUGAUUAUUAGCUUUAGUACCAUUUUGUAAACACCACCAAUAAAUAUUGGCAAUUAAAGUUUUUAAAGUUGCACCUUUCUUUCAUGCCGAUAUAGCCUGAUAUACUGAUUCAUUUGCAAAUAAUUAGAUUUGGAGCAAUGAUGUUGCAUGUAUACUGUACAACAUCGGUAGCAUAAUUAUGAAAAUUGAUCUUUAAGUAUUUACCACUGAAUGGCUAGUGAACUGAUUGCCGAAAUAUUAUGAAUCUUAACAACUAGCUGCCCAAAGAUGAAAAAUCUUAACAGCUUAGAAGUCCACACCAGACUGUGUUUUGUUAGUUAUAUAUACUGAACUGUAUUUAGCACAGAAUAGCUAAUGAACUGAUUGCCAAAAGACAUCAAAUCUUAACAACCAGCUGCCCAAAGAUGAACAAUCUUAACAGCUUAGAAGUUCAUGCCAGACUGUGAUUUUUAAGUUACAUGUAUUUAUCAAUUAAUGUUUAAAAUUCCAUAUAUGCUGAUAUACUGAUUAAUUUAUAAUUAAUCAGAGCAAUGAUGUUGCAUAAUUAUAUACUGUAGAACGUCACCAGAAUAUAUGCAUGACAUCUUAAGAACUGUACUAUCUAUUAUCAAAUAUUAGAUAAUGAACUGAUUGCCGAAACAUAGAAUCUUUACGAUCAGCCGCAAAGAUGAAAAAUUUUGACAGUUUACUGUAGAAGAAGUUCAUGCUGGACUAUAUGUUUUUUCAAGUUAAAAAUGUUUAAACUACUGUAAGUUGAAUAUAAUUAUGCUGAUUGAUUAAGUUGCAAUUGCAGGAACAAUGCUGAGUAUAUACUGAGAAAUACUGCAGCAGUCCUAUGAACAUUGGAAAUAUAAAAU